CACCCCGCCUGCCACACGGAACCAAAGGACCAGGACACGACCGGAACCUGAAAGCCAAACCCUUUCAGAAGCAUAGGGGCCGACGUUCCGGAAGAUCUUUUGCUGAAGACCCCUUUACCGUAUCUUACCAUAAAUGGCCACGUUCCAAAGCCCUCCAGUGGAAAUCUGCCCCACCAGUUCUUCUGCACACCAACCCUCCUCCUCUAAGUCAUAAAUGUUUGACGGAACCCCAGAUCAGAGAGACAGAUUUGAGUCCUGUCUCCUGUCUCCUUGCCAGUAGACCUGGAGAUAAAGCUCCUUCUUUUCUCAAAAGCCGGUGCCAUAGUAUUGGCUUCUGUGCCCCUGGGGCAGUGAGCCCUUGUAAGGAGAGCGAGGGAGAGAGCUGGUUUAAAAUGGGUCUCCUGUGGCAGAAACGGUCAGAGGCUCGAGGAACAGUAAUGUUCAUCCGACUUCCAAGGGGCAUGUUUUUCUGAACUGUGCUGUGAUCCUCACGUGCUGUUGAGAAAAGGUGAGCUUCGCACACCAGCCUUGUAUUAGAGAUGUUAGGGGGAUGGAAAGAGAAAGCGGCCAGGGUUCAUGCGUCCACACCUGGUGAACAAGACUCAAGAGAGAGGAGCGGAUGUGCCUGGAGUGGAGCUCAGAGGGAGCUCACGACAACCACCUUGAAAACCGAAGCACCCACCUCCCCUUGAAGCUCAGAAGUACUGAGGAGGGAGCUGGACCUCCUGCUGGACUCAACAAGUAUCUAUUGAUGCCUUCUAUGUGCCAGGCCCUGUCUGGAGACACAGGAGUCUCUUGCUGUGGGUAGAGAAAGAGAGUGGAUGGAGCAGGAGUGAUGCUUCCUUUCUCUUCGUGCACAUGCUCAUCUCAAACUCAAACCUUCAAUUGUCAGCACUGACAAGGGAAGUAAAACCCACACAGGCUCUUCCAGACUUUCUUAUAGCCAGUUUCCUCUUCUGCCAAAAUAUCUCAGGAAUUUGUAAGCGAAGUCAGCUCUUUUUGAGACUGUCCCUGCUCAUUCUCUGCUUUGGAGGAUGUUGACUAGGAAGAUGGCCAUGUGUGGAUCCAACUGAGAAUCCCACAUUGUAUUUAUUUGUUAUGUUUCCUCUCCAACAUCUGUGACAAUUCUUUGGUCUCUCCUUGUCUUUUAUUACCUGCAUACUUUUGAAGGUUAUUUGUCAGAUAUUUUGUGGAAUGUCUCUUAGUUUGGGGUUGUCUGAAG